rnacentral:rRNA from 1 species
UGCGUAGGGGGCAAGCGUUGUCCGGAUUUAUUGGGCGUAAAGAGCUCGUAGGUGGUUCGGUAAGUCGGAUGUGAAAUCUCCAGGCUCAACCUGGAGGGGUCAUUCGAUACUGCCGUGACUAGAGUUCGGUAGGGGAGUGUGGAAUUCCUGGUGGAGCGGUGAAAUGCGCAGAUAUCAGGAGGAACACCCGUAGCGAAGGCGGCACUCUGGGCCGAUACUGACACUGAGGAGCGAAAGCGUGGGGAGCGAACAGG